rnacentral:lncRNA from 1 species
GGGUGAAUCCAGACAUUUCUAAAGGGGGGUUCCAACUAUAUGUCUCCAUUCAAGUGCAUUGAUCGUCUCAAAAAAAGGGGGGUUCCAACCACCGGAACCCUCCCCUUGGAUCCACCACUGAUAUUUGAGAAAUAGCCACAGUACAUUUUGUUGAUAUCAAAUUAAAGUUGAGAAGCUACGGUAAUCUAUAUAUGUUUAUCUACUUUUCAUUGUCUAC